AGAGUUUGAUCCUGGCUCAGGAUGAACGCUAGCGACAGGCCUAACACAUGCAAGUCGAGGGGCAGCGGGAGUAGCAAUACUUGCCGGCGACCGGCGCACGGGUGCGUAACGGGUAUGCAAUCUGUCCAUAAGCACGGGAUAGCCCACUGAAAGGUGGAUUAAUACUGUAUGUGUCAUUGAGGGGCAUCCCUUGGUGAUGAAACGCGAGGUUUAUGGGUGAGCAUGCUUCUGAUUAGUUAGUUGGUAAGGUAACGGCUUACCAAGGCAUCGAUCAGUAGGGGUCCUGAGAGGGAGAUCCCCCGCAUUGGAACUGAGACACGGUCCAAACUCCUACGGGAGGCAGCAGUGAGGAAUAUUGGUCAAUGGGCGAGAGCCUGAACCAGCCAAGUCGCGUGAAGGAUGAAGGUUCUAUGGAUUGUAAACUUCUUUUAUCUGAGGGUAAAGUGAGCGGUGCGCCGUUCAUUGCAAGUAUCAGAUGAAUAAGCAUCGGCUAACUCCGUGCCAGCAGCCGCGGUAAUACGGAGGAUGCGAGCGUUAUCCGGAUUUAUUGGGUUUAAAGGGUGCGUAGGCGGGCUAUUAAGUCAGCGGUGAAAGUUUGCGGCUCAACCGUAAAAUUGCCGUUGAAACUGGCAGUCUUGAAUGCAAGCGAGGUAAGCGGAAUGUGAUGUGUAGCGGUGAAAUGCUUAGAUAUGUCACAGAACACCGAUUGCGAAGGCAGCUUACCAGUAUGCGAUUGACGCUGAGGCACGAAAGCGUGGGUAUCAAACAGGAUUAGAUACCCUGGUAGUCCACGCAGUAAACGAUGAAUACUAGCUGUUUGCGAUAUAAUGUAAGCGGUAAAGCGAAAGUGUUAAGUAUUCCACCUGGGGAGUACGCCGGCAACGGUGAAACUCAAAGGAAUUGACGGGGGCCCGCACAAGCGGAGGAACAUGUGGUUUAAUUCGAUGAUACGCGAGGAACCUUACCCGGGCUUGAAAGUUAGUGAAAGCAUUUGAAAGAGUGCUGGCUCGCAAGAGACACGAGACUAGGUGCUGCAUGGUUGUCGUCAGCUCGUGCCGUGAGGUGUCGGCUUAAGUGCCAUAACGAGCGCAACCCCUGCCAAUAGUUGCCAUCAAGUUAAGUUGGGAACUCUAUUGGGACUGCUACUGUAAGGUAGAGGAGGGUGGGGAUGACGUCAAAUCAGCACGGCCCUUACGUCCGGGGCGACACACGUGUUACAAUGGGUGGUACAGAGGGUUGCUACUGCGCGAGCAGGUGCUAAUCUCCUAAAACCAUCCUCAGUUCGGAUCGGAGUCUGCAACUCGACUCCGUGAAGCUGGAUUCGCUAGUAAUCGCGCAUCAGCCAUGGCGCGGUGAAUACGUUCCCGGGCCUUGCACUCACCGCCCGUCAAG
rnacentral:rRNA from 1 species